GGAUGCUGGCAUUUGCAAGGCGGAGGAUUAACUGGUUGAGCCAUCAUGCUGGCCCUGGCCUCCAAGUCUUCGAUAAAUUAGUGCUUGGGCCAUGAGCAAGUUUUGGUUUGGGGAAGAUCUUAUAGAAAAAAUCCUGCAAAUAAUUUGUGAUAAAAAGAUGUUGUGGUCAGGGACAAAAACCACUUCUUCGGGAUAGAAUGUAUAAAAGUCACAUUUAACCUCCUCCUUGGCAACAUCUUCUGAGGACAGAGUUGGGAUUCCUGCAGGAUUUCUCACUCCUUGCAGCAUUGUGAUGUCCUGUGAGAACUUAGCAGCAGUGCCACCUUGUCCCGUGGUUAUGCAAUUUAAUGAGCACAGACUCUCCCAGCUCAUGGAUGCACUUUGUUGGAUGUGAAUUCUUACAGUUGUGGGUCCAGUUAAAAUGUGAAGCUAUGACAAAGAUAUUUAAUGUGAUAUGAUCAUAAGCAUUUGAAAAGAGGACUCAUUACUUGUUUUUGAGGCAGGUUUCCCUUUAAAAAGAUACAUGCUGACUACUGUAAAGUCAAAUAUGUAGAAAUAAUGAGACAUGUUUCUGCU